UGGCGGCGGCGGCGGAGGGCUCUGGGCUCCGCUGGGGAGGAGCUGCAGACGCCUCCAGCGCUGAUGCUGCUCCGGCUCCUUCUCCUUCUUCUGCUCCUACAGCCUUUGCAGCUGCUGCCACGUCCGCUUCCCCGUCUGGGGCUCUCAGCGGCCGCAGCAGGGACGACACGUGUCUAUGCUCUGGCAUGCUAGUGGUCGUGGUCUAACUCUUAGGAGGAACCUGGUGACACAGUGAAGAAUCUCUCACUAGAGGUUUCCAUACAGAAGUCAGUCAAUAACAGAAGGGGACAAUUUCAGCUCACAGUGGCAUCACCUUGUUUGUAUUGUACAGAACAUCCUUUUAGAUUGGAUUUGGUAUUGAC